UGGGGAAUUUUGGACAAUGGGCGAAAGCCUGAUCCAGCAAUGCCGCGUGUGUGAAGAAGGCCUUCGGGUUGUAAAGCACUUUUGUCCGGAAAGAAAUCCUUGGCUCUAAUACAGUCGGGGGAUGACGGUACCGGAAGAAUAAGCACCGGCUAACUACGUGCCAGCAGCCGCGGUAAUACGUAGGGUGCAAGCGUUAAUCGGAAUUACUGGGCGUAAAGCGUGCGCAGGCGGUUUGCUAAGACCGAUGUGAAAUCCCCGGGCUCAACCUGGGAACUGCAUUGGUGACUGGCAGGCUAGAGUAUGGCAGAGGGGGGUAGAAUUCCACGUGUAGCAGUGAAAUGCGUAGAGAUGUGGAGGAAUACCGAUGGCGAAGGCAGCCCCCUGGGCCAAUACUGACGCUCAUGCACGAAAGCGUGGGGAGCAAACAGGAUUAGAUACCCUGGUAGUCCACGCCCUAAACGAUGUCAACUGUUGUUGGGGAUUCAUUUCCUUAGUAACGUAGCUAACGCGUGAAGUUGACCGCCU
rnacentral:rRNA from 1 species